GACGAACCGAGCGAACGUUGUUCGGAUUCAUUGGGCGUAAAGGGUGCGUAGGCGGCGCGGUAAGUCGGGUGUGAAAUCUCGGAGCUUAACUCCGAAACUGCAUUCGAUACUGCCGUGCUUGAGGACUGGAGAGGAGACUGGAAUUUACGGUGUAGCGGUGAAAUGCGUAGAUAUCGUAAGGAAGACCAGUGGCGAAGGCGGGUCUCUGGACCGAGACUGACGCUGAGGCGCGAAAGCGUGGGGAGCAAACAGG
rnacentral:rRNA from 1 species